UGGGGGAUAUUACACAAUGGGCGAAAGCCUGAUGCAGCGACGCCGCGUGGGGGAUGAAGGCCUUCGGGUUGUAAACUUCUUUUGCUCUGAACAAGGCGCACCAUGGGGUGUGUUGAGUGUAGGGGUUGAUUAGCGCCGGCUAACUACGUGCCAGCAGCCGCGGUAAUACGUAGGGCGCGAGCGUUGUCCGGAAUUAUUGGGCGUAAAGGGCUUGUAGGUGGCUGGUUGCGUCUGUCGUGAAAGCUCAUGGCUUAACUGUGGGUUUGCGGUGGGUACGGGCUGGCUUGAGUGCAGUAGGGGAGGCUGGAAUUCCUGGUGUAGCGGUGGAAUGCGCAGAUAUCAGGAUGAAUACCGGUGGCGAAGGCGGGUCUCUGGGCUGUUACUGACACUGAGGAGCGAAAGCAUGGGGAGCGAACAGG
rnacentral:rRNA from 1 species